rnacentral:RNase_P_RNA from 1 species
UGAGUAGCACAGAUGAUCGCAGCUGCAAGUGUCGAAAGACCGCAGGUGAGGAAAGUCCGAGCUUCACAGGGCAGAAUGCCGGAUAACGUCCGGUAGAGGCGACUCUCAGGCUAGUGCAACAGAAAUAAACCGCCCGGAUACAUUCCGGGUAAGGGUGGAAAGGCGAGGUAAGAGCUCACCGCCAGACUGGUAACAGUGUGGGCACAUGUAAACCCCAUUCGAAGCAAGACCGAAUAGAAAGCUAUACGGCGGCCCGUCGUGCUUUCGGGUAGGUCGCUUGAACCUGUCGGUAACGGCAGGUCUAGAUAGAUGAUCAUCCAACGACAGAACUCGGCUUAUCGUGCUACUCAUUUA